rnacentral:misc_RNA from 1 species
UCUCCGUUGGUGAACCAGCGGAGGGAUCAUUAUAGAGUUUUUAACUCCCAAACCCAUGUGAACCUACUAUUUUGUUGCCUCGGCGGGUUCUGCCUCCCAUCUCGGGAGCAGGCUCAAGCCCGCCGGUGGCCCAACUAAACUCUUGUUGUUACAGUGUCAUUCUGAAUUUAAAAACUUAAUCAGUUAAAACUUUCAACAACGGAUCUCUUGGUUCUGGCAUCGAUGAAGAACGCAGC